CGAGACUCAAAAAAGACACAACAUCGCUUGGCUACAUGCAACCGGGGGGUUUCAAUGCAAAUCGAAGGAGGCUAAUUUCCAAACGUAUCAUUCGCAAGCCUGUCCUACAUUACCAUGAAAACCUCCAAAGCGCCAUCUCAGGCUUCAACACAGGAGGAGUGUGGGGUUUGGCUGGACACUGUAGACCUCAAAGAAAAGGCGAAACAGAGAAGGCCAUUGCGACCCAUCUCAAAACAACUGAAUCCUCUGGCUCGGUCUGGAGGUUACAGCUUAGCAGUGGCGCUGAAUUUUACACAAACAAAAAUCCAGAUUCCUGUCAACAAACAGAGCUCUAUAUCCUCAUUCUUUACCCCACAGCACAAAGGUAAGCUCAGGUGCAGAGGAAAUGCUGCUUCGGGAUUAAGCUGUACUUCAACAAAUGUAAUCAUGUCAGCAAUUGUUAAUUACAGUAAUUAAUGUGUUGUUAGUGUAAUAUCCCAAUAAUGUUUUAGAGGCUCC
ensembl:lncRNA